AUUGAACGCUGGCGGCAGGCCUAACACAUGCAAGUCGAACGAGUGGCGGACGGGUGAGUAAUGUCUGGGAAACUGCCUGAUGGAGGGGGAUAACUACUGGAAACGUUAGCUAAUACCGCAUACCAUCAGAUGUGCCCAGAUGGGAUUAGCUAGUUGGUGGGGUAACGGCUCACCCAGGCGACGAUCCCUAGCUGGUCUGAGAGGAUGACCAGCCACACAGGAACUAAGACACGGUCACGACUCCUACGGGAGGCAGCAGUGGGGCAUAUUGCACAAUGGGCGCAAGCCAGAUGCAGCCAUGCCGCGUGAAUUAAGAAGGCCUUCGGGUUGUAAAGUACUUUCAGCGGUGAGGCGUUAACCGCAGAAGAAGCACCGGCUAACUCCGUGCCAGCAGCCGCGGUAAUUA
rnacentral:rRNA from 1 species